rnacentral:rRNA from 1 species
AUGCUGGAGGUAUCAGAAGUGCGAAUGCUGACAUAAGUAACGAUAAAGCGGGUGAAAAGCCCGCUCGCCGGAAGACCAAGGGUUCCUGUCCAACGUUAAUCGGGGCAGGGUGAGUCGACCCCUAAGGCGAGGCCGAAAGGCGUAGUCGAUGGGAAACAGGUUAAUAUUCCUGUACUUGGUGUUACUGCGAAGGGGGGACGGAGAAGGCUAUGUUGGCCGGGCGACGGUUGUCCCGGUUUAAGCGUGUAGGCUGGUUUUCCAGGCAAAUCCGGAAAAUCAAGGCUGAGGCGUGAUGACGAGGCACUACGGUGCUGAAGCAACAAAUGCCCUGCUUCCAGGAAAAGCCUCUAAGCAUCAGGUAACAUCAAAUCGUACCCCAAACCGACACAGGUGGUCAGGUAGAGAAUACCAAGGCGCUUGAGAGAACUCGGGUGAAGGAACUAGGCAAAAUGGUGCCGUAACUUCGGGAGAAGGCACGCUGAUAUGUAGGUGAAGCGACUUGCUCGUGGAGCUGAAAUCAGUCGAAGAUACCAGCUGGCUGCAACUGUUUAUUAAAAACACAGCACUGUGCAAACACGAAAGUGGACGUAUACGGUGUGACGCCUGCCCGGUGCCGGAAGGUUAAUUGAUGGGGUUAGCGCAAGCGAAGCUCUUGAUCGAAGCCCCGGUAAACGGCGGCCGUAACUAUAACGGUCCUAAGGUAGCGAAAUUCCUUGUCGGGUAAGUUCCGACCUGCACGAAUGGCGUAAUGAUGGCCAGGCUGUCUCCACCCGAGACUCAGUGAAAUUGAACUCGCUGUGAAGAUGCAGUGUACCCGCGGCAAGACGGAAAGACCCCGUGAACCUUUACUAUAGCUUGACACUGAACAUUGAGCCUUGAUGUGUAGGAUAGGUGGGAGGCUUUGAAGUGUGGACGCCAGUCUGCAUGGAGCCGACCUUGAAAUACCACCCUUUAAUGUUUGAUGUUCUAACGUUGACCCGUAAUCCGGGUUGCGGACAGUGUCUGGUGGGUAGUUUGACUGGGGCGGUCUCCUCCUAAAGAGUAACGGAGGAGCACGAAGGUUGGCUAAUCCUGGUCGGACAUCAGGAGGUUAGUGCAAUGGCAUAAGCCAGCUUGACUGCGAGCGUGACGGCGCGAGCAGGUGCGAAAGCAGGUCAUAGUGAUCCGGUGGUUCUGAAUGGAAGGGCCAUCGCUCAACGGAUAAAAGGUACUCCGGGGAUAACAGGCUGAUACCGCCCAAGAGUUCAUAUCGACGGCGGUGUUUGGCACCUCGAUGUCGGCUCAUCACAUCCUGGGGCUGAAGUAGGUCCCAAGGGUAUGGCUGUUCGCCAUUUAAAGUGGUACGCGAGCUGGGUUUAGAACGUCGUGAGACAGUUCGGUCCCUAUCUGCCGUGGGCGCUGGAGAACUGAGGGGGGCUGCUCCUAGUACGAGAGGACCGGAGUGGACGCAUCACUGGUGUUCGGGUUGUCAUGCCAAUGGCACUGCCCGGUAGCUAAAUGCGGAAGAGAUAAGUGCUGAAAGCAUCUAAGCACGAAACUUGCCCCGAGAUGAGUUCUCCCUGACUCCUUGAGAGUCCUGAAGGAACGUUGAAGACGACGACGUUGAUAGGCCGGGUGUGUAAGCGCAGCGAUGCGUUGAGCUAACCAGUACUAAUGAACCGUGAG